AUCAAUGAGGGUGAGAGUCCUGUUUGUCAUGUGCAGCCUUCUGUGCACGGUGUAUAUUUGCUGAGUCACACUCCUUGGCAUUGGAAUGCAAAGUGGGUGGUAAGUUUCAUGCAAAGGUAAAUAUGCAAUUGAGACUGAUAGCGCACAAGUACCAUGAGGGACAUAUGAAAAGGACUUUGAAAAGAGAAUUAAAUGAGUUUGUAUUUGCUAAACACAAAGUAAACAGACUUGAUUUCCUCAGUGAGAUUGUAGUGCUUGCUUAACAAUGGGUUUUGGCUGCAAGUGCAAUAAUUCUUGCUUUGUGUGCCAGUUUUUAUGUGGACAUUUGAUUACCUUUGCACAUGAAUGGUAAUUUUCCUGCGGGGUGUGGAUUGCAUAUGCAUGUAAUGAUUUGCAUGUUUGUUAAAUGUGUCUGGUGUAUUUGUUUGUGUCCUUGUCCUUGAGGUUGCUUUCUCCCUUGGGCUUACAUGCCCUGGCACACACAUUCUGGCAAAAUGCUUCUGCUUGACCCGUCUUGAAACACGGACCAAGGAGUCUAACAGAUGUGCAAGUUUGAAGGUGGUAUACCUGUGUGUGUAAUGAAAGUAUUGGCUGGGAUAUUUGCACCAGCAGCCGACUAAUUAGCAGACAGAGGUUUGAGUUGGAGCAUAUCUAUUAGGACCCGAAAGAUGGUGAACUAUGCUUGAACAGAAAGAAUUCAGAGGAAACUCUGAUGGAGGUUCGUAUCGAUACUGACGUGCAAAUCGUUCGUCAUAUUUGGGUAUAGGGGCGAAAGACUAAUCGAACCAUCUAGUAGCUGGUUCCCUCCGAAGUUUCCCUCAGGAUAGCUGGAGUUGCACAGUUUUAUCAGGUAAAGCGAAUGAUUAGAGGAAUUGGGGACAGAUGUGUCCUUGACCUAUUCUCAAACUUUAAAUGGGUAAUAUGUAGUGGUUGCUUGAUGGAACUUCUAAAAUGAAUGGCAAUAUUAGGUGGGCCAUUUUUGGUAAGCAGAACUGGCGAUGAGGGAUGAACCUAAUGCUGGGUUAAGGGGCUUAA
rnacentral:rRNA from 1 species